UAUCCCGGAACACCAGCGGCAUCGCCCGGC
rnacentral:sRNA from 1 species